rfam:Flavobacteriales bacterium ALC-1 1103813602122, whole genome shotgun sequence.
UAACCUCUGGCGAAAAUCGUGAACGUUG